rnacentral:lncRNA from 1 species
GUGGCUAAUCCGUGCGCAGCUCUGGCCACCCGGGCCGCCCCCACGAGACCCAAGGGACCGCACGAAGUCGGAGAGACCCGGGAGGGAUGGCGCAAGGGCCCCCGUGGGCGGAGAACCCAGCCCCCUGGCGAGCGCCUCGUCCUCGCUGCUGACCCCGCGCCCAGCCACCCGAGCGCUUUCCGCUUUGUAUGGCAACGCGGGGAGGCAUCGGCAUGUGGAGUGAGCCGAAGGCCGAGUCCUGCACAGGCCGGGUGUCACCACUCCGCGGUCCAUGCUUCCUCCGCGGGAGGAUUGCCUGCUUGCUACCCAGACAGACUCUGAAAGAAGUUGAGAGUGAGAUGGUGCCAGGCUUGGUCCUGGCACCAAAUUCUGGCCCUUUUUUCCUCACCUGCCUAAAGGUGCUUAGACUCAGCUCCUUAGCGCACAACUGUUGCCCUGUAUUCUCCUUGGCUGUGCCAGCCCCUGAAGCAGGCAGAGGCUAAAUCCAAAUCACUUCCCGCUGCCAUAUUUCUGAGGAGCUCGUGUGUUUCUAUUGGCCUCUGAGUUUGGGUGGUUUUCUCGCCCUCGGAGCCGGAAAUUAACUCCUUCAUUAACAUCCACCACACACCAGGAACGACAUGGCCCUUACCUGCCCACAGCGUUGUGGAUCACCUUUUCCCUGGAAAUUUCUGCAGCUAAAGCCCAGCUGAGAAGAGCCUGUGGUUAUAUGAGGAUGCCAGGCUUCCUAUGUUGUUUAGUAUCAAAGAAAGCAUUGCUAUAUUUUAUGUACUCAGGGACCAAAGGCCAAGAGACUCAUGAGUGACUCAAUACUUCCUUCCCUUCUCUUAAAGAAACAGAUGUCUGAGGAUCGAGGGCCCUAAAUGAAGAUUCAUGACAGUUAUUUCCACAAAGGAUAGAUAGACAGUAGAUAGAUGGAUAGAAAUAUAUAUCUAUGUGCAAUAAAAAGAUAUACUGAAGAUGUCAUGUUUCUAAAGGAAAUUCUGAGGGCAAUUUAAAUAGAUUCCUUGUGGACAUGCUUGUCAUGAGUAUUGGUAGAGAGAUUAUUGUGUCCACACGUGCAAUAAGUGAGAUUCAAGUGGGCUACUGUGUUUAAGUGUACCCCAUCAGCUAUUGAUGAAAUGAGGCCUGGAAUGUCUGCUCUUUGGUGUUUUUGUGUCCCCCUCCCAGGUCCUACCCAUUUAUGGUAAAAACAUACCCAUCUGCCACCUUGUAAUCCUGAGCACAGGCAAAAAAGCUAAAGCAAACUUGAAGUGCAUCCCUUUCAUGGGAAACACCCCCUCCCCAGUUGACAACUGCAUGAUUUUCAUGACAAAGGAAGGUACUGCUGUGCUUUGAAACCUACCGGUAGGUAGGUAAGUAUUGUCCACAGAAGGAAGGCCCCUGGAGGAUGACCAGGCCUUAGUCCUGGGGGUCUGUGAACAAGUCGAAGAGGAAUUAAGGUUCUGUAUGGAAUUAAACAUCUGACCUUAAAGAUUAUCCUGGCUCCUCAAAAACAACAACAAAGAUUAUCCUGGCUUAUCCCAGAUAAGACCAAUGUAAUCACAAAGGUCCUAAGAAGGUGCAGUGGGGUGAUGGUGGAAGCAAACUCCAGAGAGAUAUGAAGAUGCUGGUUUAAACAGGGAGAAAGGAGCCACGAGCCAAGGAAUGUGGGCAGCCCAAGAAUGUGGGCCAGAAAAAGCAAGGAAAUGGGUUUUUUCCUAGGGCUUCCAGAAAGGAUCACAGACCUGCUGAAACCUUUGCGUUUAACCCAGUGAAAUGCAUGUUAGAGAUUUCAUCUACAGAGCUAUAAGAAAAUUAGUGUUGUCUUAAACCACUAAUUAAGUGGUAAUUUAUUAUAGCAGCGAUAGGAAGCUUGCACAGAGGAAUCUGGUUAUUACUGAGAUUUUAUCUCCUUUCUGAAGGAUUUUUAGGGAAACAUCUUGAAAUUCACAAAUGUCUCUGGAGUUUUGGACCAUUCAUUCAUCACAGAAGAAAUCCUCUGGCUGAGGAAGUCUGACCCAGUAUCUCUCUAAGGUCCCCAAGCUGAGAAAGUACAAUGCUCUUGGGCUGCUCGCAUCAGGCAGAGCCACGUUCAGGAAUAUUUAAAAGCUGUCUUUAUUCUUGCUCCCCAUUAGAAGAUGAAUUCAAGGGUUCCAAAUAUCACAAGUGUUUAAGAUUCACAUCUUCCCAUGUGACCAAGAUGCAUCCACAUCAGAAACUCUCUGCCAAUCCACCCAGCCCUGGUCCUGGGUAGAGCCAGGAAUGUUGCCUGAAUAAACCUGAAGCUAUGGGUGCAUUGCUGUCUCCUUCUGCUCCAGGACAGGGCAACAACAUAUAAUACCAGUAUACAAGAGAACAAGUGCAUGCUUGUGGGAUCUGCAGAAUGAAUCACUGGAUGCAAGAAUAUGUCUCAGAAAUUGCAUCCAUGGCUGCAUCUUUACUGUCCUAAGGAUUUCUUAGGUCUCAGAAAUGGGCUGUGGCCUCUGUCAGCAACACGGCCUGCAUGAAUGUUUUCAACAAUGCCCUCGUGCAGAGGAUGUUGUGUUACCUUCUGCAGAGUCCUGGAGUCUCUAGAGUUCUUUUAAAGUCUGUUUGGGAGGCACCCACAGCACCUAAAACCACAGCCGGUCAACUUUUAUCUGUCAUUUCUUCGGGUUUCACAUAAGAUUUUGUUAGGGGAAGAGGCUCAUUAGGAGGGAAGAAAAAGAAAAUGAAGCCCAAUUCGUAGAGAACUUCUGCUGCUAUAAUCCUAGAAUCCAACCUGAGACCCUGGGAGGGUCAAAGGCAGCACAGCAACAAAGCAGGUGUCUAGCUUACAGACUGAAAAACUUAAGUAAUAAUGAACCUUUCAUAUAUUACCGGGCCCCGACACCAAAUCAUAGCUAACUAUUUUGUCCAUAUGCCCACUCCCUCUGCACUCCUAGAUUAUUUUGAAGCAAAUGUGAGGUAACAUAAUUAUAUCCAUUAACAUUUCUGUUUGAAUCUCUAGAAGGCAAGGCCUAGCAAGGGAAUUUUAAAAAUCUAACUCUUUAUUCUUACUCCCUAGCCUCUCCUUAAAAGACAAGCCCUACUGAACAUGAAAAUAUGAAUAGGAGGUAAUCACAAACAUAGGUCUGUGAGCUAAAAAUUACUUAAAUAAGACUCACUGGGUUACUGUUAAUAUGCAGAUUCCUGGGCCCAGCUCCCAGUCUUCUCGUUCAGGUUAGGGGAGGAGUUCAGGAACAUGCACUUUAGCAAGCGUAUUCUGGAUAAUACUGAUGAAGAUGCUUUUCAAACCCCACUUGGGGAAACUCUGAAUAUGAACUUUUGUGGCAGGUGGCACUGGUUGCCUCCAUCACUGCAGCCCCCUCGUUGUUUAUGUCCUACUUCGGUAUAGGCAUUGUCCUGGGACACAGGCUGGGCCAAUAAAACAGAAGAGGAAUCAGCCAGGCCUUCUGGAGACAUGUGCCUCACGCUUCAGGAUAUAAAAGAUGACAUGCUUUCUAUCCUUCACAUGACUUCUUGCCAUCAGCACUGACAUGUGAGAAUACUCUCCCUUGAAGUUAUGGCAUCCAGAUUGAAACGACAAAGGAGGACAUCAACCUACAUACUCAGUGUGGGUAGAGGGAAGAGGAAAAGGAGGGGGUCCUCAGUGACGUCCUGAGCUAAUGAAUUCCUCAUUCUCAGAAAUGCCCCACCUCUGGUCUUCCUGCUGGACAAUCCUACAAGCCACCAGGAAAUCUACAAGGAACUUUCUAGCAUUGUAGCAGCUGCAAAGAAGAAUUUUAGAAACAGAUUGUUACAGUUCCAUGAGAUGGAGACAACCCCGUGUUUUCUUCUCCAGAUGAAGUCAAAUUUGAAGAACUUGAUCUUUCCUGCUUACACUGGUUAGAUUUUGGAAAUCUGGAAAUGGAGCUAUUGGAAUUUCAAGAAAGCUCUAUCUGGAAAAAUAAAUUCUAUGACCUGUGUGCAACACCAGAGAAUAUAGAGACAAUAGAGUAUGAAGAUGACAAAGGACAACACAGUGGGUAGUUCUGAAAAUAUAAUCCUUGAAGUGUGGAAUUCUCUGCCAAAUAAUUUUAAAUCAGUGAAAGCACUUGGGAUUGCUUUUCUUACUUUGUUUGGAUCAUCUCAUGCUUGUGAGCAGCUGUUUUUACCUUUUAAUUACACCAAAUCUGACACAAGAAGCAGACUGACAGAUGACCUGCAUGCUGCAUGUGUUGCUCUCAAAAAAACUAACGAAGUGUGAGCCAAGGUUUGACAAACUAUCAGCAUGCACACAACAGCAAAGAUCACAUUAAUUGUGCAAAAGCACAACCAAAUGCAAACUUUUACUUUUCAAUAAAAAGCUGUUUGUAUCAUUGAAACCUCUAUUAUUGUGUUCUUCUUUUAAGACAAAAGAUUUUAAUAUAUGAGUUGUUUUUUCUAAACUAAAACCUUAGUAUUCAGGUUUAAUUGCAGUGUUGCACUUUGUGAUAAAUAAGUAGGUUUUAGAUUGCAGUUUGGGCUCUUGGUCUCUAAAAGCUUCACCAUCACUGUGUUAUGUUUUCCAGCAGGGCU